rnacentral:rRNA from 1 species
GAUGAACGCUGGCGGCGUGCCUAAUACAUGCAAGUCGAGCGAACGGACGAGAAGCUUGCUUCUCUGAUGUUAGCGGCGGACGGGUGAGUAACACGUGGAUAACCUACCUAUAAGACUGGGAUAACUUCGGGAAACCGGAGCUAAUACCGGAUAAUAUUUUGAACCGCAUGGUUCAAAAGUGAAAGACGGUCUUGCUGUCACUUAUAGAUGGAUCCGCGCUGCAUUAACUAGUUGGUAAGGUAACGGCUUACCAAGGCAACGAUGCAUAGCCGACCUGAGAGGGUGAUCGGCCACACUGGAACUGAGACACGGUCCAGACUCCUACGGGAGGCAGCAGUAGGGAAUCUUCCGCAAUGGGCGAAAGCCUGACGGAGCAACGCCGAGUGAGUGAUGAAGGUCUUCGGAUCGUAAAACUCUGUUAUUAGGGAAGAACAUAUGUGUAAGUAACUGUGCACAUCUUGACGGUACCUAAUCAGAAAGCCACGGCUAACUACGUG